CAGUCGCCGCGGUAAUACGUAGGUGGCAAGCGUUGUCCGGAAUUAUUGGGCGUAAAGCGCGCGCAGGCGGAUCAGUUAGUCUGUCUUAAAAGUUCGGGGCUUAACCCCGUGAUGGGAUAGAAACUGCUGAUCUAGAGUAUCGGAGAGGAAAGUGGAAUUCCUAGUGUAGCGGUGAAAUGCGUAGAUAUUAGGAAGAACACCAGUGGCGAAGGCGACUUUCUGGACGAAAACUGACGCUGAGGCGCGAAAGCCAGGGGAGCGAACGGGAUUAGAUACCCCCGUAGUCCCUGUCUCUUAUACA
rnacentral:rRNA from 1 species